ACGGGUGAGUAACACGUGAGUAACCUGCCCCUGACUCUGGGAUAAGCGUUGGAAACGACGUCUAAUACUGGAUAUGAUCACUGGCCGCAUGGUCUGGUGGUGGAAAGAUUUUUUGGUUGGGGAUGGACUCGCGGCCUAUCAGCUUGUUGGUGAGGUAAUGGCUCACCAAGGCGACGACGGGUAGCCGGCCUGAGAGGGUGACCGGCCACACUGGGACUGAGACACGGCCCAGACUCCUACGGGAGGCAGCAGUGGGGAAUAUUGCACAAUGGGCGAAAGCCUGAUGCAGCAACGCCGCGUGAGGGAUGACGGCCUUCGGGUUGUAAACCUCUUUUAGUAGGGAAGAAGCGAAAGUGACGGUACCUGCAGAAAAAGCACCGGCUAACUACGUG
rnacentral:rRNA from 1 species